rnacentral:rRNA from 1 species
AGCGAACGCUGGCGGCAGGCCUAACACAUGCAAGUCGAACGAACCUUUCGGGCUUACUGGCGGACGGGUGUGUAACCCGUUGGAACGUGCCUUUAGGUUCGGAUUAUCUCAGGGUAUCUUGUCCUAAUACCGACUGUGCUCUUCCGUGGUAAGUUUUAUCGCCUUUAGAGCGGCCUGCGUCUGAUUAGCUAGUUUGUUGCGUUUAUGGCUCACCACGGCGACGAUCAGUAGAUGGUCAGAGAGGAUGAUCAGCCACAUUGGGACUGAGACACGGAGCAGAAUACUACGGGAGGCAGGAGAGGGGAAUCGAGCGAAAUGGGCGAAAGGAUGACGGAGCCAGGACGGGUGAAUGAUGAAGGUCUGAGGAAAGGAAAAUACUUUAACAGGGGACGAUAAUGACGGUACCAGGAGAAGAAGCACCGGCUAACUUCGUG